rnacentral:rRNA from 1 species
UAGAAUGACUCUCGGCAACGGAUAUCUCGGCUCUCGCAUCGAUGAAGAACGUAGCGAAAUGCGAUACUUGGUGUGAAUUGCAGAAUCCCGUGAACCAUCGAGUCUUUGAACGCAAGUUGCGCCCGAAGCCAUUAGGUUGAGGGCACGUCUGCCUGGGUGUCACA